rnacentral:rRNA from 1 species
UGGGGAAUUGUUCGCAAUGGGCGCAAGCCUGACGACGCAACGCCGCGUGGAGGAUGAAGAUCUUCGGGUCGUAAACUCCUGUCGAGCGGGAAGAACACCUGCAUAGCUAACAUUUAUGCAGGUUGACGGUACCGCUAAAGGAAGCCCCGGCUAACUCCGUGCCAGCAGCCGCGGUAAUACGGGGGGGGCAAGCGUUGUUCGGAAUUACUGGGCGUAAAGGGCUCGUAGGCGGCCAACUAAGUCAGACGUGAAAUCCCCAGGCUCAACCUGGGAACUGCGUCUGAUACUGGAUGGCUUGAAUCCGGGAGAGGGAUGCAGAAUUCCAGGUGUAGCGGUGAAAUGCGUAGAUAUCUGGAGGAAUACCGGUGGCGAAGGCGGCAUCCUGGACCGGCAUUGACGCUGAGGAGCGAAAGCCAGGGGAGCAAACGG